UUAAUAAUUUCAAAUAAGAAGAAAAUUGGACAAUUAACUCAAUAAAUCCUCUCCAACUGUUUAAAUUUACGUCACAAAACCGAACAUAUGUUGGAGUUUGGAUAGUUUAGUCAUUUUUGGUCAUAGGACAAAAUAGUCAAAUUAAAUUAUAUUAAAACGAAAUUAGUGAUCAACAAUGGUUAAGAGACUUAUGUAAAGAAAAUGAUUUAAUUGUUUAAACUUUCUCUUUUUUUCAAAUUUUAAAAAAUUAUCUGAAUUUUUGUAAGUUAUAUUUUGAAAUGAGGUGGAUUUACACACAUAUAUUUGGGGUGGAAAUACUCUAACCUUAAAAUUAGGUUCGAAUUCCAACAAUUGAGGGAAUUGGUAAGAUAAAUAUAUUCUCUGUCACAAAUAUAAAUAGAUGAUAGAUAUAUCUCCCAAUAUUAUUGAGGUAUAACAUUGCGCUACGCCACAAUAAAAUAUAUUUAAAUUUCUAAUUGCAUGUAACUGUAGACUUCUCACUGUAAAUCCAAAUAAUACAACCAUGUGAUAAAUUUCUAAUUGCAUGUGUCUAAAGACUUUUCAUUGUAAAUACUAAAUAAAGAUAAAUGCAACCAUAAGAUAUUAUCUUUACCAAAAUAUUGUCAACCCAUGUGCUGUAGGGAACUUCCAUGUCCACACUCAAUUUGAUUACGAAGUUCAACUCCCAAUUUCCCUUCGUUUUAUCAACUCUGUCUCUUUCUAAAUUGACACAAAACUGUAUAUAUACGAGUCCAAGGCAGCGACUUUUGACAGACACCAUAAUUUUGUUGUAAAAUCUCAUUCCCAUUCUUGCUUUUGCCUUUUUUUAUUUGUUACUCCACACCUCCCUCUUAUUAUGACAGAGCCUAAAACAGAAGCUCGAUCUCCCAUGCUCAAAGACCGGCCCAGAACUUACUGCCAGCAGCAGAUGGAGCAAGUUCAGUGUCUCCCUCCUAAGAGAGGGCGUAUCAAGCGUCGAAUUCUCUCGUGUCUUUUUCACAAGAUGAUGAUCAUUCUUCAGAAAUUCGGUUUUCAUCCCCACUGCUCCUGUUUUGGCAAUUCUUCCGCAUGAUUUUUAAUAAGUACAUAGAUAUUGAUCUUUUUUAAAAUCUUAGAUACGUUCGUAUUUUAUAAAAUACGAAUUUGUAGACGUUCGCAUUUUAUAAAAUACGAAUUUAUUCUUAAUUACUUUAAAUAAGUCUACAAUAUAGUUUUUUUUUUUUUUUGUAAAAUUCUGUUCUGUACUGUUUUGGUGGGCUUGUACAUAAUAAGUGUUAUAGUAACUUGAUGACCAUUUGCUGUUAUUGUUAUGGUGUACAUAUAUGAUCCACCUUGAGUUAGAGUGCAGUUACUUGCAUUCUCAAUGUCCCAUGAUUCAUGAGCAACACAAGUUUGUGACCACUCAUUUUGUUUUGUUAAUUCAUUUUUACCUGUGAUGAUAUAAACCCUUGCUUUUCUUUUUCUUUUCUUUUCAAUUGAAUAUACCCUUGUUAAUUACUAGCUAAUUCUAAUGUCUAUUCUUUUUUUUCGCAUUUCCGGUCCCCUAUCUAUCUCUUUUUCAGAAAGCAUGGAAAAAGUUAGAGCCUUUUUAAGUUGUUAACCGCAUGGCGAAUCCAAAAAAAUAAUUUACUCAGGACUAAAUU
rnacentral:lncRNA from 1 species